UACGAGGGGGGCGAGCGUUGUUCGGAAUUAUUGGGCGUAAAGGGCGCGUAGGCGGUUGGAUAAGUCUUGUGUGAAAACUCGGGGCUUAACUCCGGGCCUGCAGUGGGUACGGGCAGACUAGAGUGCGGUAGGGGAGACUGGAAUUCCUGGUGUAGCGGUGAAAUGCGCAGAUAUCAGGAGGAACACCGGUGGCGAAGGCGGGUCUCUGGGCCGUAACUGACGCUGAGGAGCGAAAGCGUGGGGAGCGAACAGG
rnacentral:rRNA from 1 species